UACAGAGGUCUCAAGCGUUGUUCGGAUUCAUUGGGCGUAAAGGGUGCGUAGGCGGACCUGCAAGUCGGGGGUGAAAGCCCGAGGCUCAACCUCGGAACUGCCUUCGAUACUGCGGGUCUCGAGUCCGGAAGAGGCGAGUGGAAUUCCCGGUGUAGCGGUGAAAUGCGCAGAUAUCGGGAGGAACACCAAUGGCGAAGGCAGCUCGCUGGGACGGUACUGACGCUGAGGCGCGAAAGCGUGGGGAGCAAACAGGG
rnacentral:rRNA from 1 species